rnacentral:rRNA from 1 species
GUAGUCCUGGCUGUAAACGAUGGGUACUAGGUGUGGGAGGUUCGACCCCUUCCGUGCCGCAGCUAACGCAUUAAGUACCCCGCCUGGGGAGUACGGCCGCAAGGUUGAAACUCAAAGGAAUUGACGGGGGCCCGCACAAGCGGUGGAGCAUGUGGUUUAAUUCGAUGCAACGCGAGGAACCUUACCAGGGCUUGACAUUGUGGUGGUAGGAGCCCGAAAGGGUGACGACCCCUGGUUUCCAGGGGAGCCACAACAGGUGCUGCAUGGUUGUCGUCAGCUCGUGUCGUGAGAUGUUGGGUUAAGUCCCGCAACGAGCGCAACCCUUGCCCUUAGUUGCUACCGGGGAAACCCGGGCACUCUAAGGGGACUGCCAGCGACAAGCUGGAGGAAGGUGGGGAUGACGUCAAAUCCUCAUGGCCCUGAUGCCCUGGGCUACACACGUGCUACAAUGGCCGGUGCAGAGGGUCGCGAACCCGCGAGGGGGAGCCAAUCCCAGAAAGCCGGCCUCAGUUGGGAUUGCAGGCUGCAACCCGCCUGCAUGAACGCGGAAUCGCUAGUAAUCGCGCAUCAGCCACGGCGCGGUGAAUACGUUCCCGGGCCUUGUACACACCGCCCGUCACACCACGAAAGUCGACUUCACCUGAAGUCGCUGGGCUAACCCUCGAUGAGAGGGAGGCAGGCGCCGAGGGUGGGGUUGAUGAUUGGGGUGAAGUCGUAACAAGGUAGCCGUAGGGGAACCUGCGGCUGGAUCACCUCC